UACGUAGGGUGCGAGCGUUGUCCGGAAUUAUUGGGCGUAAAGAGCUUGUAGGCGGUCUGUCGCGUCUGCUGUGAAAAUCCGGGGCUCAACCCCGGACUUGCAGUGGGUACGGGCAGACUAGAGUGUGGUAGGGGAGACUGGAAUUCCUGGUGUAGCGGUGAAAUGCGCAGAUAUCAGGAGGAACACCGAUGGCGAAGGCAGGUCUCCUGGGC
rnacentral:rRNA from 1 species